ensembl:lncRNA
GGGGUUUCCUUCUCAGAUCCCUUUUUGUUAUGCAAACUUUUUGUUCAGCAGUGUUAUCUCUUGCAGGUGUUUGUUAGAAUCAUUGUUUGUGAGAAGAAACCUGGGUGUGCUCAUUUCUUGCUGAGGUUCCCUUCUCUGCAAAGACCUGCCUGACUCACUGCUUGACUUGGAAACACCCCCAGGGAUGGCUCAGCUCAGAAAUGAUCACAGACAGACACUCUUCACUUCCACCCAAUUCCACGCUGCUUGCAAAUGGAACAGGGGAAAAACUCUGCAGCCUGUGGGCUCUGACAGAGCUGGGAAUGCUGGGGGAGCCUGGAGAUCCCCACGAGGUGUCCCUGAUGCCCUGCACAGGUUUACCUGUCAGGCUGAAGAGAGACAUCACAAAGUCACAGCUGAGCAAGAGGCUCCUUUGGUGUGAGGAGCAGCCAGGAGCUGGGCAGGAGGGGGUUUUCCUGAGGAUUAUGGGAGAACAUCUUCAUUUCCCAGGCAGAUCCUGAGUGCACCCACCUUUGGAUCAGAGUUACGCAAUACUCAGUGCCACUUUUAAAAAGAGCUGGAGAAUGAUGCUAACAAUAUAUUUCAGCCCAAGAAAUGAAGAAACCCUAUGUAAGCAGCCUGCAAACACAGUGUACUCAGUCUCUACUAAAUUACUAAAUUUCAGUAAGUUAUGAUGUGAAAAAACCCAAAAAGGUCUUGAUUUGCAAGCCUUUGUGUUCUUUCCCUCCCUGACUCAGUGAUAGGCUUUCACUGCCAUCAUCUGCAGAGGUUACUGGACUUCCUCCCAAGACAAACUGCAGGCAAACUUCCAGGAUAAAUCCCCAAGAUUAAGGACAAUUUUUGUAAAUGUGGCUAUAUUAACUUUCCUCAAAUUCCCAGUGCUUUUCCUGCAUGGCUAAUGGAAGGAGCCUGCUCUAAAUCCACAGUGAAAGAAAAAACAGUACUUUAAACUCAUACUUAGUGCUCUGUGUUUGAAACUGAAGUGAGAUUUAUGAGCAAGCUCCCUCUAUCUAAAUGCAUACACACCCAUUUACAUGAUUUUACAUAAUAUAUGGGAACAGUUUGUUGGGUAAUAUACACAGGGAUAAAACCAACACUCUAUGCUCUCUGAGUAGGGAUCACUGCAGUGAGCUCUGCAUAAACUCCUGCUCAGACAGGGCUACUUGGAUCUUCUUGGGAAAUAGUGUCCAGAACUGGAUAUAGAUUGGACUACAAAUACACUGAACUUGCUGGCAGACCCAGCAGGAGCAAUGGAGAAGGAAAAAGCAGUGUUAUAGUUUGUAAAACUCUCUGGAAUCACUCUUGUUUAUGCCAUUAACACAAAAUGUGAUUGAAAAAUUAAAGGAAAUACCAAACCCUUAUCUCUGGCAAAUCUUUGCAAUGGAUGCAUGAGGUCUGUGCUAACCUGCACCUCAAAGCUACAGACACAUCUCAGGUGAUCUGGGAGCAGAGUCUGGCAGCUCUGGAUUUACAGAAAUAUUCCUCAGGGAUCCCUUUGCCAUGAUGUCCCAUUCCAGAAAAUGUUACAGAGUUUUUCCCUCACUUUUCAUUCCCUUUAUUGAACCACAUUUGUGUUUAUAGCCCCAUUUGCUUUCCCUGCCAUGCUGUCUGUCACUUGUGUGGAAUAUGGGUUUUGCACACUUGCCAAAUAGUUCUGUUGCUUGGCUGAGGGUUCUCUGGCAGGAGAAAUUUGCCUCUCUGCAUAGUAAUGGGCAUGUUUGGCUAAUGGGCCCUUUGUCUGGGGCCUCUUGCAUAUUCAGAGCUGCUCCUUUGUCACCAGCCCGACCCAGGCAGCAAAUAUCCAAAGGAAUUGUAAAUAUGCCCUGUUCUCACUGGGAUGCUGGCUGAAGCAAGGAUCAGCUUGCUGGGAUAAACUGGUCCUGUGCUGCUCUGCAGCUUCCCAGCAGCUGCCCAGGCUCUCUGAUUCUAGAACAGCUCUGCCCAUCACUGAUGCUGAUGCUUUUGGAGUCACUUUUCUCCGUGGUUUGUGUCCUCCUAGAGUACAUUUAAUAUUGAGAUGGCCAGCUCUGCUGAUGUGGUUUUGGGAUGGCACAGCUGGUAACGGGGUGUGAGCAGAGCUGGCAGCUCAGCUGAGCUGCUUGUACAGUUAGAGAAGGAAUUUUUCCUUUCCCCUGUCUGCUGGGGACUGGCAGGUAACACAUCCCCCUAAUUUGUGCAACAAAGUGCUGCCAAAGGGAGUAGCAAGUCCAACUGGUCACUGGAAAAGCCAGGAAUUUCCAUGGCCAUGUGGACAUGCCAAGUGUCUUCAGUGCUGGGGCUAUUGGUAAGGAAGUGGCUUCAUGGAUUUUUUGUAACUUUUUUUUUUUUCAUGUAUGGAGUAUAGAUUUUUUCUUUUUGUCCUAUAGCUGCUUGCUACUGUCAGUGUUUAAUAAAUUGUCUAAAGGUGGGGAGUCACUUUUUAUUUCGGAAUACUUGGAGGAAUUGCUUGGUUCUGCCUGGCAUAGCAGGUUUGGGUGGAUAAUGAGCCAAUAUAUUGGCAGGGCAGAAAUCAAUGGCACAAGUACACAGAACUUUUACCAGUUUAAUUAGACUAUCCACACUCCUUUUUAAACAGCUGGUCAAAGCACCACGUUGCAAAAAAAACAAACCCCCUCAUUUAAAAGGAUAACGCUGUAGAUCAAACUUUUCCAUUGUUUGCAGCGAAUCCCCUAAAAACAGAAGCCCCAAAGCUCGCCGAGCAGCCCAGCUGAAUAAUUCUGCCAAAGCUGCAAAAGGGGAUGCUGCAGCACCAUCUAGUGCCUCUUCUCCCAGCAAUAUCGGGAAUUUUUGAAUUUUCCAAGGAUGUAGGCGGGGACGAGGGAGUGCACUGGCUGCUUAGACAUUGACAACUUCUUUUCUCGACCAGUGUGGAGAGAGAAGGGAGCUGAGGGAUGGAAAGGAGCUUUGGAAUUUCACACGGGGAAGAUUUCGGCAGCAGAGCUUGCCAGAGUUUGGAGCAGGGGCUCAUCAUUUUAAAAUUCUUCAGUUGGC